rnacentral:rRNA from 1 species
CCUACGGGUGGCAGCAGUGAGGAAUAUUGGUCAAUGGACGCAAGCCUGAACCAGCCAUGCCGCGUGCAGGAAGACGGCCCUAUGAGUUGUAAACUGCUUUUGUACGAGAGUAAACGCAGAUACGUGUAUCUGUCUGAAAGUAUCUUACGACUAAGGAUCGGCUAACUCCGUGCCAGCAGCCGCGGUAAUACGGAGGAUUCAAGCGUUAUCCGGAUUUAUUGGGUUUAAAGGGAGCGUAGGCGGUCGGAUAAGUUAGAGGUGAAAUCCCGAGGCUCAACUUCUGAAUUGCCAUUGAUACUGUUCGGCUUGAGAGUAGUUGCGGUAGGCGGAAUGUAUGGUGUAGCGGUGAAAUGCUUAGAGAUCAUGCAGAACACCGAUUGCGAAGGCAGCUUACCAAGCUACUUCUGACAUUGAGGCACGAAAGCGUGGGUAUCAAACAGGAUUAGAUACCCUGGUAGUC